rnacentral:rRNA from 1 species
GUGAGGAAUAUUGCGCAAUGGAGGCAACUCUGACGCAGCCAUGCCGCGUGCAGGAAGAAGGCGCUACGCGUUGUAAACUGCUUUUAACCGGGAAGAAACCCCAGGACGUGUCCUGGGUUGACGGUACCGGAGGAAUAAGCACCGGCUAACUUCGUGCCAGCAGCCGCGGUAAUACGAAGGGUGCAAGCGUUAUCCGGAUUCAUUGGGUUUAAAGGGUGCGUAGGCGGAGCGUUAAGUCAUUGGUGAAAUCCUGCAGCUUAACUGUAGACUUGCCAUUGAUACUGGCGCUCUUGAGUGCGCUUGAAGUGGGCGGAAUGUGCCGUGUAGCGGUGAAAUGCUUAGAUAUGGCACAGAACACCAAUUGCGAAGGCAGCUCACUAAGGCGAUACUGACGCUGAGGCACGAAAGCGUGGGGAUCGAACAGGAUUAGAUACCCGAGUAGUCC